rnacentral:rRNA from 1 species
CCUACGGGAGGCAGCAGUGAGGAAUAUUGGUCAAUGGACGGAAGUCUGAACCAGCCAUGCCGCGUGCAGGAAGACGGCUCUAUGAGUUGUAAACUGCUUUUGUACAAGGGUAAACCUGAAUACGUGUAUUCAGCUGAAAGUACUGUACGAAUAAGGAUCGGCUAACUCCGUGCCAGCAGCCGCGGUAAGACGGAGGAUCCAAGCGUUAUCCGGAUUUAUUGGGUUUAAAGGGUGCGUAGGCGGAUUGAUAAGUUAGAGGUGAAAUGUCCGAGCUUAACUCGGGAACUGCCUCUAAUAAGGUGGAUCUAGAGAGUAGAUGCGGUAGGCGGAAUGUAUGGUGUAGCGGUGAAAUGCUUAGAGAUCAUACAGAACACCGAUUGCGAAGGCAGCUUACCAAUCUAUAUCUGACGUUGAGGCACGAAAGCGUGGGGAGCAAACAGGAUUAGAUACCCCAGUAGUC